GUCCUCUUCUAGCUGAGCUACUCGUGCAACAAGGAAUGGAAUCGAAAACAUGAGAGAGAGAGAGUCACACAGGGCACCGUAUCGCUUCGUGCCUCGUUCCGCCACUCUGUGAGGGCUACAGACAUUUUCCCAGUGGCGAAGAUGGUUUAUUAUUCACUUACAAUGUAUGCGAACAAAUUUGUUCUUUCCUUUUUCCUGCAUGACUCAUCGCGUCUCUCCUGAGUGGUCUCAAUGUAACGAAAGCAAUUGACACUGUCAGUUUAUACAAUCUGUUCAUGACGGACACUCUGAUUUGUCGACGUUUUAAGCAUUCUCUUUUUAAAUUAUGAAUUCCAAAAUAAUUUCCUGUUUUCUACUAGCCAGUGUCUGUUUAGUGAAUUGUGACCAUUUAAUUUUGGGCGAUCCAAAUAACAAACAAAUAAUUCACCACACCGUAGCAGAGUACAGUGCCUACCCGUUUAUAAAGAGAAGCAAGGACGUAUUCUAUAAUAAUGAAGAGCAAAAGAUUAUCAACACAAUACUGAUCUACGACAAUCUGCAUUCGAAGGCGACGGCAAAAAUCACUGCUGGAGGUAUCGGCUACUCGUACGUCAAUAUACGGCUGGAAAGCGAACGGGGGAGGGGACUGGACUAUGAUAUAGGAAUAUAUUCUUAGCUACAUUCAUCAUUGUUUAAUUUGAAGAUAAAUGACCAUUGCCCUAAUCUAGCUGUGGUGGUCAUAUCAGCAUUGUCUAAUUUAAAUUUAAAUACUCUAUGGAAAUAUAGUAUCGUUGAGUUAGUAUCCAUAACACAAGUCUCGAACUUACUGUGGAGCUAGCUCAAUCUGUAUGAUUUGUCCUAAUAUAUUUAUCUUAUUUAUUUA